rnacentral:rRNA from 1 species
UACAGAGGUCCCAAGCGUUGUUCGGAUUCAUUGGGCGUAAAGGGUGCGUAGGUGGCGUCGUAAGUCGGGUGUGAAAUCUCGGGGCUUAACUCCGAAACUGCAUUCGAUACUGCCGUGCUUGAGGACUGGAGAGGAGACUGGAAUUACGGUGUAGCGGUGAAAUGCGUAGAUAUCGUAAGGAAGACCAGUGGCGAAGGCGGGUCUCUGGACAGUUCCUGACGCUGAGGCACGAAGGUCAGGGGAGCAAACGGG